rnacentral:rRNA from 1 species
UGAAGGGUUCAGCCGGGCGAUGGUUGCCCCGGUCGUAAGGGACUGCAAAUGAGCGGGAAGUGAAUUUGGAAGAAGGCGAGAAAAGCUGUGUGAAUAGAAGAUAGAGCCCGUACCGCAAACCGACACAGGUAGAUAGGAAGAAGAUUCUAAGGCCAACGGGAGAAGGGUUGUUAAGGAACUCGGCAAGUUGACCCCGUAACUUAGGGAGAAGGGGUGCUCUUUAAGGAGAGCCGCAGAGAAUAGGCCCAAGCGACUGUUUAGCAAAAACACAGCUCUAUGCUAAAUCGAAAGAUGACAUAUAUGGGGUGACACCUGCCCGGUGCCGGAAGGUUAAGAGGAGGAGUGAGAGCUCUGAAUUGAAGCCCCGGUAAACGGCGGCCGUAACGAUAACGGUCCUAAGGUAGCGAAAUUCCUUGUCAGGUAAGUUCUGACCCGCACGAAUGGUGUAACGAUUUGGGCACUGUCUCAACAACCUGCCCGGCGAAAUUGUAGUACCGGUGAAGAUGCCGGUUACCCGCGACUAGACGGAAAGACCCCAUGGAGCUUUACUGCAGCUUAAUAUUGAAUUUCGGUAUUUCAUGUACAGGAUAGGUGGGAGACAGGGAACCAUAGGCGUCAGCUUAUGGGGAGUCGACCUUGGGAUACCACUCUUGAGGUGCUGGAAUUCUAACCUGUGGCUCUGAAUCGAGUCAGGGGACAUUGUUAGGCGGGCAGUUUGACUGGGGCGGUCGCCUCCAAAAAGGUAACGGAGGCGCUCAAAGGUUCGCUCAGCAUGGAUGGAAACCAUGCUUUUGAGUGUAAACGCAAAAGCGAGCCUAACUGCGAGACUGACGGGUCGAGCAGUAACGAAAGUUGGAGUUAGUGAUCCGGCGGUAUGUGAGUGGAAAUGCCGUCGCUCAACGGAUAAAAGCUACCCUGGGGAUAACAGGCUGAUCUCCCCCAAGAGUCCACAUCGACGGGGAGGUUUGGCACCUCGAUGUCGGCUCAUCGCAUCCUGGGGCUGAAUUUGGUCCCAAGGGUUUGGCUGUUCGCCAAUUAAAGCGGUACGCGAGCUGGGUUCAGAACGUCGUGAGACAGUUCGGUCCCUAUCUGUCGUGGGCGUAGGAUAUUUGAAAGGAGCUGUCCCUAGUACGAGAGGACCGGGAUGGACGCACCGCUGGUGCACCAGUUGUCAUGCCAAUGGCACAGCUGGGCAGCUAUGUGCGGAACGGAUAAACGCUGAAGGCAUCUAAGCGUGAAGCCGACCUUAAGAUAAGAUAUCCCUUCGUAAGAGUAAGGCCUCUCAUAGACUAUGAGUUUGAUAGGCCUAAGGUGUAAGCACAGUGAUGUGUUCAGCCUGCAGGUACUAAUCGGUCGAGGGCUUUUCC